rnacentral:rRNA from 1 species
AGACGUAAGGGGCGAGCGUUGUCCGGAAUUACUGGGCGUAAAGAGCGCGUAGGUGGCUUGACAAGCGGAAGGUGAAAGCCCGCGGCUCAACUGCGGAACUGCUUUCCGAACUGCCAAGCUAGAGUACGGGAGAGGGCAGUGGAAUUCCUGGUGUAGCGGUGGAAUGCGUCAAUAUCAGGAAGAACACCCGUGGCGAAGGCUGCUGCCUGGAACGUUACUGACACUGAGGCGCGAAAGCUAGGGGGGCGAACGGGAUUAGAUACCCCGGUAGUCCUAGCCGUAAACGAUGGGCACUAGGUGUUGCAGGUUUCGACCCCUGCAGUGCUGUUAAGCUAACGCGUUAAGUGCCCCGCCUGGGGAGUACGGCCGCAAGGUUGAA